CUCUGAGAGAGAGAAUUCCAAAGCAGUGUCAGGAAAGUCACAUUUCAUCCUUACUGGUGUAGCUGGAGGUUUACAUUAGAGCAGAAGAUCUGUAUAAAGUGUAAGUAUCCUCUUGAGAGCCUUUUUGGGGAGAGAAGCAUCUCAUUGCUCUAGGUUUCAUCAAAAAAUGCACAUCAUUCAAGUCAUCAAGAAAAGUUACAGCAAAGACUGUAAACAGAAAAGCCAGGUCCUUAAACUGAGAAAGCCUCUCCCCGGAUUUGACAACUCAAGUUGAGUGUUGCCAUCUUGUAUGGACCAGUCACAAUGGGAAACAAAUUCUCUGUAGUGUUUAUUGCUUUGAAAUCAGCUUCAUGAUCUACUUGUUUUGUUUCUGUGGAUACAGGGAUAAGAAUACAAAGCUAUAGCUUUGAGAACACUGAUUUACCUUUUGAGGUUGUAAACAAUGGUGUCUUAUCCUCCCCUCAUCAUAUGGGAGUGCAUUAAUACUGACAAAAGAGGCUUCACCAUUUUUACUAUGACACCAAAGUAUGGGCAGACUUGUGAAAGAAGUGAGAAAAAAGCUGAAAUUUCUGCUGCUAUUCCAGGUUCCUCUGCAAUAGGGGAAUUCACUCCCUUGGGAUUUACACUCCAGUAAGAAUACUAACACACAACAAAGGCAAUGUCGUGCCUUCACUAUGUGCACUGGAAGCUGUGGGGUUUCCCAUGAAAUUAAGGAAACAAAGCCUCUUUUUCCUCCAAUAGUUUUUGGGUUUUUUUUGUGGGGUGUGUGUGUGUGACAAACCCAACUGAACACUGGAAUAUAUGGACUUGAAAAAAGAGAUCUAAAACUGGUGUAAGGCUGUUAUAAACUGAUUUAUGGCUCCUGAGUUCCUUAGGAAACUUGGUUCCCUGCCUAAUAGUAGGGCAAGUUUUGUCAAUAAGCUACAGCGCCUCAGUAAUGAUGCAGUUUGAAUGGAAACAAUAAAGGCCUAGUACAUUUGAGUCAUCUUGGGCCAUGACCUCCCACAUGAGGAGUAUGCACCAUCACACCUGGGUGGCAAUGCCUGAGCAGCACUAUCUAGUGGGACAAAUGGGAGAGCUCUCUGGCCUUUUUUACGCUAAAAAGAUAGAAAAAAAUAAAUAUCUGAAGGUAAAAUUAAUUGCUUAACUCUCCAUCCCAGCCUAUUUUAGAAGUAUUUUGGAAGAAAAGCAAAAGCAGAUGGAAGUAUGUAUUGAAGUUUAUCCAGCAAAAAGACAUUUUCUAGCUAACUCUAUCAGGAAUAUCAGUAUCUGCUUCAUCUAACAAGCAUGUUUUAGAUUUAAGGGUUUACUUUGUCAAAGGAUGUUGGCUUUUCAGACUUAACCAUUAAGCCUGUUAUUUCUCAUAGUCUGGGAAAAAUGAGGUGGAGUAGACAGAAGAACAGAACUAACACUGAGUCAGAUAAAAUUAAAAGUUUCCUUGAGGUGUGGGUAUUGCAAGCAGACAAUGAUUUCUGUUGAACAGCACUCUCAGUUGCAGAAAUCAAGCCCCUAUGCCUCUAAUGCUGUUCAGCCUGGCAGCUUUGACCCAAGGAGUCAGAAGACUUAAUAAAGCUACUUGAUGUGGCAAAGUUCUGGCUGGCAGAUUGGCCCCUGUAGGAAUUCCACUUUGGACUCAGCCUUUCAAAUGCUGUCAGAAUACCAGAUUGGAAGAGGACCUCAAGGAUCAUCAGGUCCAACUUUUCUUGGCAAAAGCAUGGUCUAGACACAAUGGCCCAGCAUCCUGUCCAAUAAAGUUAUGGUUAAAAGGCUCCAGUGUGGAUCAGAUUUCAUCAGGAGAGUACAGCAUGGCCAGACCAGUCAUAAAGCAGAAAAAUUUUGGUAAGAGAGAACAUAAGGAAAAAACAUGUGAAGUUAUAGAUAGGAUCUUUAAAUUCUGCUUUCAUGUGAUAAACUUUCCUUAAAAUUAUAAUGUAAAAAUAGCAGAUGAUAGGCUUGUUUGUAUUGUGUAUAUUUAUAAAAUUGUAUGAAAAUAUGUUGGAAAGAAAUUUAUUCAAGAGCUGUUUCCUUUCAAGACAAUUUCUAAAAACAAUUUGUGGAGGGGAGGAGAGUAGAAAAAUUUAUAUCUGCCUGUAAUGCCUCUGGAAUAUGACUAUUGUUAUUUUCUGUUGCUCUUUCAGUUGUAAGCAACUGGUCUUUUUCUUGUAAGUGAAAAGAAGUAUUUUAGCUAUUAUUAGAUGUAUUUGGAUGCCAUUUCCAUCAUUCAGAAGGGCCCAGCAGUAUUCUGUCACGAACGUUUCCUCUGAGCAUGUAUUAAAAUGAAAGGCUGGUGAUUGGAGAAUUAAUCUGAGUAGCAAUAACGGAAUAUGCAAUUAUAGAAAAGAAGGAAAACUUUUGUAGCUGUUACAGUAACCUGGAAUGUUAGAAACAUGUCUGCUGCACAACAGAUACCUGGACAAUUUGAAAUUAAUCUUUUAGAUCUUAAUUACUCAGUUGUGAGUGUAUAUUCAAUAUCUUACAAAACUAUUGUCUUGAUGAGGACUUUGGAACCCUGGUGACAGCAGCAAUAUAAUGUUGAUAGACAUUUCUUACAUUCCUUCUGUUCUGGAAGAGCAAGCCAACAUACACAUCAGUGGUGUCUUCUAAUUAACUCUAAUUAAAUGAAACAAAACUUUAAGUUUGUUGCCUACUUGAGUAUAUCCAAUCACACCCAAUAGUCCAUGUCUCCCUAUGG